GUAUUCUUAUACCCAGAGGCGGGGCUUCCCCGCCCUCGGACGCUCAUUGGCUGGGCGAGACGCUUCUGGGCGGGCCGCGCACGCCUGCAUCUAGGUCUUGGCCCCGCCCCUCCCACUGGAACCCCGCCCCUUGGGACUCCGGCCACGCCCCAGGCUCUGAGCACCGCCCUGGGGCGGGGUAUUUGGCACUUUCGGAGGGAUUCGGUCUGGCCCUCAGGGCUUCGGAAUCGGACUUGGCUGGGGUAGAGCUUGAACUGACCAGAAGGUGGGGUGGGAGGGCCAGAGUUUUAGGCCCCCCAAGAGCUGCAGGAUGUCAGGCCUACGCAACCUUUUAACUUUCCAGGUAGAGACCGAGGCUCAGUGGCGGAAGAGGCUUCCUGGAAAUACACAGCAAAGCCUUGAUCAAAGUGAGACUGCACAGCUACACAGGGCGCAUGCACCUUAGCGGUGCAGGGUCCCCGCAGGAGGUCAGCUGUCCAUUCCCAUAACCCCCAGGAGAGCCUGUUGCUCCCCCUCUAGUUCCCACUGCACCUUGUCUGUUGAAGCAUGUACUUAGUUGUUAUUAAUUUAUGGGCACGUCUCCUGAAGGACUUGUUCAUCUUCUUCUUCUCAGCACUUGGCCCAGAGCCUGGCCCAGAGCAGGCUUUUAGUAAAAGCUGAGUGAAUGAACUAAUGAUGGAAUGAAUUGCAACUCUCAGCUGAGCCUCAGUUUCUUCAUCUGUAAAAGGUGUGUGACCUCCACCACCAACCAGCUGUGACUGUUGAGUGUUGAGCGGGGAGUAUUACUUGAUUCCCCAGGGCCUCAGCUUUCUGCUCUGUGAAAGGGAGACGGUGAUCUUGCCUGGUCAGCCUGAGAGCUUGUGGGUAGUGAUAAAUGACCAUGGGUGUGGUCACAUUUUUGCAAAGUGUAAAAAGCUACACCCUGGAAUUUAUUCUCCUGAAUCUUUCUCUACAGAGUGGACUCCUUCUACUUAAAAAAAAAAGUUAACUGUAAAGCAGCCUCAGGCAGGUCCUUCAGGAGGUAUUGCAGAAGGCGGUUAUCACGUGAGAUGACAGCUGCAUGUUACUGCCUCUGAAACCUUCCAGUGCGCCAAGGUGUGGAGGUGGAAGACAGUGAUAUUGAUGAUCCUGACCCCAGG